AUCUAGCUGACGAGUCGUAAAUAAGAUAAAAUGUGCAUCAUACAU
rfam:Schistosoma mattheei strain Denwood, Zambia genome assembly, scaffold: SMTD_scaffold0005719